UUGCGGAGUAUGAUCUCGCGUGUAAAAAAAAGUACAUGUCGGAACUUAAAAUUGGAACUUCGUUUCCUUCCAAUCUUCAGCCGCUGAGCCACCCUCCCUUCGCAGCACGCCACUAUCUCAGGCAGACUCCUCUCUUCACACGCAGCCCUAGCUAGGGUUUACUCUCUUGAGCUCUGAUCCUUGCUAUUGAUAUUGAGGUAAUCAUGGAUUCAGGCAGCCAAUUUGUUCAGCAUAGUGUGGACAUGCCUCAUCAAUUGUGAGGAUGCAACCAUUAUGACAACAUUAUAAGAAUUACCAUAUUAAGAAAAAUGGCCAAGGCAGCCUAUUUGUCCAGUUUUCAUCAAAGUAUUCUUAUUAAAACAGAUUUUGGUACUUGAAACGUCAUCAUGAUGUGCCCCAUGAAGAAAAGAAAAACAUCAGAAGUCCUGGUAUCUCGAAAUGCCAGUGAGAUGGAAUCUAUACUACCAGUUCUUCUAGCUUGUGACUAUUAUACAGUGCCUUCAUUGUCGGAACUGGCUGCCAGAGAAUGUGUGGACUCGGGAUAUUGUCAAAGAGUUCAAGAUUUUACGGUUGGAAGGUUGGGUUAUGGAGUUGUUAAGUUUCUUGGAGAAACUGAUGUGAGAUGGCUUAAACUAGAUCAAGUUAUUCAAUUUAACCAGCAAGAGGUGGUGGUUUAUGAAGAUGGCUAUGGAAAGCCUUUGAUAGGCAUGGGCCUUAACAAAGCUGCCGAAGUUACCUUAGUACUAAAAGUGAAAGUGGGUAAAGAUGAGGUUAUUGGUGGUCAAAACAAUCUGGAAUUAGAGAAGCUCAGGAUGAAGUUGAAGGGUGUUAAUGAGAGGCAGGGGGCUCGUUUCAUCUCUUAUGACCCAUCUAGCCAUCAAUGGAAGUUCUUGGUCCCACAUUUCAGCAGAUUUGGACUUGAUGCUGAAGAUGACAUUGAUAUGGUGCCCAUUGACAACAAUAACCAACAAGAACUUGGUCCUAUUGUUAAGGAAGUGUCACAAGAUGUAAAUGAAGAAGAUGAGAUGAGAAUGGAUGUGUCCCCAUCAGCUGGUCCUUCUGGAAGUGCCCUAGUUCAUUCUCUACCUGCACAUCUCGGGCUUGAUCCUCUAAAGAUGCAAGAAAUGAGGAUGUUGAUGUUUCAAAAUGGAGAAGAAAAUGAAGAUGAAAAUGGGUCACUUGUGCACAAAACUAGGUCAUCUAGGAAAGAAGGUGCUGAUGGUGGGGUCCAUGGAUCUGUCUUGCAACUUUCAGCUAAAAAGAGUAGCCAUAAUGUAAGUCCAAAUAACACAUCAAGUAACUCAAGUCCAUUUAAGAUAUUGAGUCCUUUAAGCCCUUCUUUGCCGAAUAAGCAAGCUUUGUUAGACUACAUUUCAAAAUCAGGGAGUGCAAGUCCUCCUAGAAACAUUCUCAUGAUUGGGCAAAACAAGGGCACACCCACAAAGACAACAAAAGUUAAGGGCUUUAAGCUGGACCCAAAACAUGAAACCCCUAUUGGUACCCGUUCCAACAUCAUAGCAGAUGCUGGGCUUUUUAUGGGAAGGUCGUUUCGUGUCGGGUGGGGCCCAAAUGGUUUACUUGUUCAUAGUGGUACACCCAUAUGUGACGUCAAUGCCAGCAAAGGACUAUCAUCUAUAAUUCACAUUGAAAAAGUUGCACUUGAUGCAACAGUCAGAGAUGAGGAUAAAAAGGUCAAAGAGGAUCUUAUCAAUCUUCGUUUUGAUUCUCCAUUGAGGCUUCACAGGUCGUUACGCCAAGAUAUCACUGAAAUCGAAACGGGUUCAUUCAAAUUGAAGCUACAGAAGCUUGUAUGCAGCCGUUCAAGGCUUCCUGAGGUUUGCAGGGGUCAUGUAGCAUUUGUCGAAAGGCAGCUCGAUGUCUCGGGCUUAUCUAGAGCAGAGCGUACCAUAUUGAUGCAUCAAGUCAUGGCUUGGGAGUUGAUAAAUGUUCUAUUUUCAGAGAGAGAAGCAAAAGGUUCUUCAGAGUCAGCGGAGAUGGAUGAUGCUAUGGACAUGAUGCUUGACAAAAGGGUAGAUUAUCCAGAUGUUGAGUCAGAAGCGGAGCCACUUAUUCGGAGGUCAGAUUUCAGUUCUUGGUUGCAAGAGAGUGUUUGCCACCGUGUACAAGAAGAGAUGAGUCGUCUGAAUGAGGGACGAUAUUUGGAAACCAUAUUCUCUCUCUUGACGGGGCGGCAAUUGGGUGCCGCUGUUGAAUUGGCUGUUGAUAAGGGAGAUGUUAGAAUGGCUUGUUUGCUGAGCCAAGCUGGUGGGUCAAUGGUGAAUCGUUCUGAUAUGACUGCACAAAUCGAUGUUUGGAAGAUGGAUGGGCUGGACUUCAACUUCAUUGAGAAGGAAAGGUUGAAGUUAUAUGAGUUACUCUCUGGAAAUAUACAUGGUGCUCUUCUCGAUUCGGAACUGGAUUGGAAAAGGCACCUUGGGUUGUUGAUGUGGUAUCACCUACCCCCUGACACUUCACUGCCCGUUAUCGUUCAAACUUAUCAGCAGCUUCUUCAUGAAGGAAGAGCCCCAUAUCCCAUCCCAUUCUAUGUUGAUGAAGGUCCUCUUGAAGAAGCUACUGGGUUGAACUUUGGUGGCCAUUUUGACUUGACCUACUAUCUUAUGCUUCUUCAUGCUAACAGAGCAAACAGCACGGCAAUUCUAAAAACUAUGUUCAGUUCCCCUUCAUCAACCUAUGAUGCAUUGGACUAUCAUAUGAUUUGGCAUCAGCGUUCCGUUUUGGAAGCUAUUGGUGCUUUGGAUUAUAAAGAUUUUUAUGUGCUGGACAUGAGCUUUGUUUCUCAGCUGCUAUGUUUGGGACAGUGUCAUUUGGCUAUCUAUGUUGUUCUCCACAUGCCCCAGCAUGAUGAUCAUCCACAUCUGCAUGCUAGCAUCAUCAGGGAAAUUUUGUUCCAGUAUUGUGAGACAUGGAGUUCUCAUGAAAUGCAACGCAAAUUUAUUGAAGAUUUAGGGAUUCCAUCUGCAUGGAUGCAUGAGGCUUUGGCAGUGUACUAUCAAUAUUAUGGAGAUCUAUCAAUGGCGCUUGACCAUCUGCUUGAGAGUUCCAAUUGGCAAAGGGCACAUUCAAUUUUCAUGACUUCAGUAUCUCAUUCAUUGUUUUUGUCCUCACAACAUUCAGAAAUUUGGAGGCUUGCAAUCUCCAUGGAGGGGCACAAAUCAGAGAUUGCAGAUUGGGACUUGGGUGCUGGAAUUUAUAUCUACUUUUACCUUCUAAAGAGCUCAUUUGAGGAUGAAAACACAAUGGCUGAAUUUGAUUCCUUAGAAAAGAAAAAUGAUGAGUGCCGUGCUUUCUUUAGUCGCUUAAAGGACUCUUUGUCUGUGUGGGGAAACAGAUUACUCCCAGCUGCAAGGGGGACAUAUUCUAAGAUGGCAGAGGAGCUGUCCACAUUGCUAUCAUCUAGAAUUUCGAAAGGCUCCACUCGUUCAUCACAGCUGAGCUGCUUGGAUACCAUUUUAGACGCACCCAUGCCUGAGGAUAUUCGGUCCUGCCAUUUGCAAGAUGCUAUUUCAGUAUUUACGUUCUGGUUAUCAGAAGUUGCAUCAUAGAAGACGUGUGAUCAAAUUAAUCGAUGAAAUUAGCACAAUCUGGGAGUAAAGAAGAAAUAAUGACAUGAAUAUCAUUUAGAAUUGGACCUUUAUUACAUCGGUGCAGUUGGCAUACGGAUGCAUCCGUAGAUGUAGAGGAUUUUUGCGUUGAAUGUUGUUAAUUGUCUUCACCGUUGUUUAGUAAUUUAGAGCUUGCUGGUCAGUGCAAGUAGAUAAUUUAUGUAUAACAUUUCUAAAAGGAAAUGUCAGAUUUCUUCUUGUGGGAUGAGAA